CGGCGGCUACCAUGCAGUCGAGCGGAACGACACUAACAAUCCUUCGGGUGCGUUAAUGGGCGUCGAGCGGCGGACGGGUGAGUAAUGCCUAGGAAAUUGCCUUGAUGUGGGGGAUAACCAUUGGAAACGAUGGCUAAUACCGCAUGAUGCCUACGGGCCAAAGAGGGGGACCUUCGGGCCUCUCGCGUCAAGAUAUGCCUAGGUGGGAUUAGCUAGUUGGUGAGGUAAUGGCUCACCAAGGCGACGAUCCCUAGCUGGUCUGAGAGGAUGAUCAGCCACACUGGAACUGAGACACGGUCCAGACUCCUACGGGAGGCAGCAGUGGGGAAUAUUGCACAAUGGGCGAAAGCCUGAUGCAGCCAUGCCGCGUGUAUGAAGAAGGCCUUCGGGUUGUAAAGUACUUUCAGUUGUGAGGAAGGGUGUGUAGUUAAUAGCUGCGCAUCUUGACGUUAGCAACAGAAKAAGCWCCGGCUAACUCCGUGCCAGCAGCCGCGGUAAUACGGAGGGUGCGAGUGUCCAUCAGAAUUA
rnacentral:rRNA from 1 species